rnacentral:piRNA from 1 species
UUUCGGGCAACCAUUCAGCCCAUUGCGGUCUC